rnacentral:lncRNA from 1 species
CUUCAAUACUGCAACGGAGCAUUUUAACAGUUUUGGAGUUUAUACAUAUAAACAUAGUAUUGCAAUUAAUCUACAGACAAAUCCAUUUUCUAUCAGAUUAAUGACAAGGCAAAUUGAGUAGUGAUCUUUACACCAAUGCGUACUCAUUUUGUAGCUGCCUCCCACUGUUUUGGCAAGACUUUCAAAUGUUUUCUUGUUCCGUCAUCUUCCAGCAGGAAAGCCAACAGCUGUGGCCAAGGCAACAAUUUUGGCAGUGGUAGUGCCCGGAUGACAACCUCUGGAGUAUCUCUCUCUCCAGCAGUAGCAGUGACAUCUGGACCACUUUCUACACAUUAUGUACUUCUUAAAAAAUAGACUGUGGACAGAUCUAAGUCUGUUGCCUACAUAAGCAUCACUGGAGACUACAGUAGAAAUAUUAAUGGGUGAGAUCUUAGCAAACAUUAUAGGCGGAACUCUACCAUAGAUUCUGAUAUUAUUGAAUCAUCUCAGAGAUUGCUUAACACAAAUUUCAACCUCUAAGGUACUUCUACAAUACUCCUCAUGAAGGAUCAUCAGCCUGCACUUGAAUGUCUUCCCUGAGAAGGACAUUGCCAUCUCAAAAGUAAGCGUAUUCAUUUUUAGGAAGCUCUAAUUGUUAGAAAAGUUACUAUUAAAUUAAAAUCUAUAUUCUGCAACUUGCGUGUGUUUUCCUGUUAUUUAAUUAGGAGCAAGCUGAUCUUUUCUGAUGUUACAACUUUCACAUAGCUAAAGUCGGCUUUCGAGCCCCUUGCGCCUAACCCAUCUGUUUAUAAUUAUUUUUUGUUUAAAGAAAUGUAUUGUGGUACAACACAUAUAAAAUAUAUGCCAACUUAAGUAUACAGUUCAAUGAAUUUUGGCAAAUGUAAACAUUUGUGUAACUUUUAUUACCAUCAAGAUAGACUACUUUCCUGUCACCCAAAGAAGUUCUCUCUUUUCCCUUUGCAGUCACUCUCCACCCCAUACCCAGUACAGGCAACCACCGAUAGGCUUUCUGUCACUAUAGGUUAAUUUUACCUUUUCCAGAAAUUCACGUAAACAAACACAAAGCACAUGCUCCUUUGUGUCUUGCUUCCUUUCUUCAGCAUAAUGUUUCUGAGAUUCAUCCAUGUUACAUUAUCAUAAAUCAAUCCUCUUAUUGCUGAGUAAUAUUCCAUUGUAUGGAUAUACCACAAUUUGUCAUCCAUUUAAAUCUUGUUGAGCAUUUGGGGUGUAUCUAGUUUUAGCUGUCAUUAAAAGUGCUGUAAAAUUUUGUGUACAAAUUGGUGUGAUAUCCAUCUUUGUUUCUCUUGGGUAAAUACCUAAGCAUGUAAUUGGUGGGUCAUAUGUAAAUGUAUAU